UACGGAGGGUGCAAGCGUUACUCGGAAUUACUGGGCGUAAAGCGCACGCAGGCGGUUUGUUAAGUCAGAUGUGAAAUCCCCGAGCUUAACUUGGGAACUGCAUUUGAAACUGGCAAGCUAGAGUCUUGUAGAGGGGGGUAGAAUUCCAGGUGUAGCGGUGAAAUGCGUAGAGAUCUGGAGGAAUACCGGUGGCGAAGGCGGCCCCCUGGACAAAGACUGACGCUCAGGUGCGAAAGCGUGGGGAGCAAACAGG
rnacentral:rRNA from 1 species